CUUGCAAUGAUGAACCAUGAAUUAUUCACAUGUCAGACUUCAGAGAUUUUUUUAUCUAUGAGAAGAAAUAUUCAUGUUCUGAGCAUUGG